rnacentral:rRNA from 1 species
UACGAAGGGUGCAAACGUUGCUCGGAAUCAUUGGGCGUAAAGCGCACGUAGGUGGCUCGUUAAGUCGGAUGUGAAAGCCCCAGGCUCAACCUGGGAAGUGCAUUCGAAACUGGCGAGCUUGAGUACUGAAGAGGGUCGCGGAAUUCCCGGUGUAGAGGUGAAAUUCGUAGAUAUCGGGAGGAACACCAGUGGCGAAGGCGGCGACCUGGGCAGAUACUGACACUGAGGUGCGAAAGCGUGGGGAGCAAACAGG